rnacentral:rRNA from 1 species
UACAGAGGGGGCAAGCGUUAUUCGGAAUUAUUGGGCGUAAAGGGCGCGUAGGCGGCUUUGCAAGUGACGGGUGAAAGCCCUCGGCUUAACCGAGGAACUGCCUGUCAGACUGUAAGGCUUGAGACCGGGAGAGGUGAGUGGAAUUCCCAGUGUAGCGGUGAAAUGCGUAGAUAUUGGGAGGAACACCAGUGGCGAAGGCGGCUCACUGGACCGGAACUGACGCUGAGGCGCGAAAGCGUGGGGAGCGAACAGG